CUCCUGUAUUUCUUUAAGUGUGUUAUUAAAGUCCUUCUUGAUGUCCUCUACCAUCAUCAAGAGAUAUGCUUUUGAAUCUGAGUCUAGCUUUUCGGGUGUGUUGGGGUGCCCAGGAGUGGGAGAGGUGGGAGUGCUGUGUUCUGAUGAUGAUGUCUACCAGCUAUUUAACCUCAGGGGUUAUUCAGAUGGUGGAAGGUUUUGAAGACAGCCACAAAGCUGGCUACAGAAUGUUUCUUUUCCAUCAUGUACAAAUGCCCUUUCUGGAUGGAGUUAUCAAUCCACAAAAAAAAAAAAAAAAGGAAAAGAAAAGAAAAGAAAAAGAAGAGAGAAGAAAGAAAAGAAAAAAGAAAGAAAAAAAGAAAAGAAAAGAAAAGAAAAGGGAAGAAAAGAGAAAAAUGAAAAGAAAAAAGAAAAGCAAGAGCUUUCUUCUGUACAAAAAUAAAUAAAUAAAUACAUUUUUCGUGGGAUUUGUUGAGUAGAUAUUGUCUACCAUGAAUCCUGGCAA